rnacentral:lncRNA from 1 species
UGAAAACUGAUUCCUUUCAAGAAUAAUAAACAGUAAAAGAAGCCAAAUGAGUAAUUUAUAACUGUUCAGAAGUACAAACAAUUAACUUAAUUGUAAACAUUUUAAAAAUAAAAAAUUCCUUCAAGCAGCAACUUCAAAUAUUCAUUACAAACCAGUAUUUUAAAUUAAGCGACAUAUUAACAUAACUAUAGAAAAAAAAAAUUCUUCAUAUUCUUUCUUAUACAUCAAAAGCAGUAUAUCUACACAUACAAGGACAGUACAUAUAAAACAUCUUCAUGUUAUUUUUUUUUAUUGCGUAACUACAGUAAAUAUUUUGUUUUAUUAAAUGUUAUCUUUAUUGUUUUAAAUAUUGCUACACAGAUAAUUACACAAUAAAAUACCGAAAAAAAAAUAAUGAACACAUUUUUUUUUAAGUAGCUUUUCUUUAAGCGCUUUAAAUAUUUCCCAUGUGAUCUCUUUCUUAGAAAGUUUGUGGUCAGUGCAAAAUGAUCCCUUCACUCUGGCAGUGCUGUAAGCAGCAAGUACUUCGAACAAUACAUUCUCAUAGUGAUGGAGUAAGCCUAACGGAAGCUCGUUCGAGACACCUCCGGUUAAAUAUGUACCCCGAGCACGUGGUCACCGCGGAUUGCUCGCCGGCUAGGAGAAACCGAGAAAAGACCGCACUCACCUUGGAUGAAGAAUCGCGGCUGACGGUGCUGCUCGUCGAAGGCUGGUCUAUACACUCACUCACAUCACCAGACUCAUGAGGGCAUUCAGCCAUGCUACAGUGGUCCGAGCCUGUCUACACCCCGCUGUACGGCAUUUCGCUGACGAACGAGGAGGAAAAAAGAAAGCGGCGGUGCUUACACUUUCCUCACGUGUUCAGCUGCUGCAUCGCGACAUCUGUGACUGGGCCGUGUGGGUGUGGGUUCGCGGAACUACAGCCGCUCAGCUGAGAGAACGCAGCGAGCACCACUGCCCGGAAUGUGCGACGAAUGUUUCGAGCGCGAGUUGACUGUUUCCUUCGUAUAGAGUGGAAGGAACUUCGGCAUGCGUUCUUUCUCUUAUUUUCCGCCUCUUGUUUUAAAUUUCAGAAACAGUAUUUUCUCCUUGCGCAGUGCUGGAUUUUAUCGGACGACAAAAGCGAAAAGAGCUUAUCAAUUGCGGGCGAAAUGAAUCUGUUGAAACACGAAUAUAACUAAUAACCUCAGCCGUUACUUCAUAUUCAAAUUAUAAUCUCAAAACUGUACCAGCAGAUGUCUUCCAAGUACAGCAGACCACUGAGGUCGAGAGUACAGAAACUUUCACCGAAGUUUUCAAAAUAAUUUGUGUUGCAUCUCAGAGCAAACACACAAAACUUAAUAGCCUGACCUAACUUUUAAAAUUAAUCUAAAAUUAGAAACGGAAAUAAAUUUAAUGUACCAUGUACGAUAUUAAACAAGCGUUAGAAAGAAAGAAAAAUUCUCUCUUAUAUUAAGCAAAACGAUUGCGGAGAAAUUUUUGUUACUGAAUUUAGAUCUUCGAAAAGUAAUAAUAAAUUAGGAAUAGUUCUUUCUUCUCUUCCGGUGCGCAAGUUUGCAUAGCAAACUUUUACAUUAAAGAAUACACAGAAGCUAUACUCAAUUUUCCUCCCACAUUAUGCCUCAUUUUGCAUGCAUUUUAAGAUUUUAAAAUCCCGCGAUUCAAAAAAAAAAAAAAAAUUGGAAUGCAUAGUACUUUUCAUUUGUAAAUCUGGCUACUAAAAAUCCCAGUGAAGUUUCGCUGUGCGUAAAACGUCCGACAAGUAACUCAGUGGGCUCAAGAAUUCGCGAUGCACCCGAUGCGAGGUUACACAUAGAAAGCUCGGCACACUGAACAUAGCUUGCAGUUCAGAGCUUGCAGAAGGUUUGCAGAAAAUGCUUGCACAGUUAUUCCUGAAACAUGCGAUUGAAAAACGGUCCUCCUUACUGUAAUCCGCAGACUUUCAUGGAGUAUUCCUGUGCUGCACAAUUUGGAACUCGAAGUGUAAACCACGAAAUUAAUUUUAUAAAUGCAUCCUAUUACUACGCUCAGCCUACGGAGCUUACAGUGUUACACAUUCUGCGCAGUAGUAAUGCAUACUUUUCCUCCAGGUCUGGCUGAUGACGUCACGCCCAGGAUUUUCCCCGGGCUCGCGGGAUGCAGGUGAUGCGUUUUGUGCUCGCAUUGAGCAAUAUUUGUUAUAGGGGAGGCAGCGUAGAGUCUUUCGAAGGUGCCAGAAAAAAUUGAGAUUUGUAAUUUGUAUAAACCCUACCUGUUCAAAAUAAAUAGCAAAAAUCUCGCAACUCAUUACAGUUAAAGAAGUUAAGAAGAUCGGAUGUCCUAAGUAAAUGAAGUCGAUAGACAUUUCCAUUUCACGUGGUUACCUCUGCAUCAUCAGCGAGUAGUAAAAAGGUUGUCAUGUGAAAUCUUUGCACCUCUUUGUGUGUUAGUGGAUGGGGAGGGGAAGAAAUUGCUCUGAAUCUCAUUUCAGGUGUUUCGAUAUUUUAAGGAUACAGAAGAAUAUGUCCAUCAAGAUAGUUUUGAGAAACGUGUGUGAUGGCAAAAGAAACGGGACUCCAACUGAGACACUAAAAUUUUACAUGUUGCUGAGCCAGAAAGAAGAAACAACUGUUGCAAUGCUCUACCAUUACCAAAAUUUUGGCCAUAAGCACCUUGGCUAUUAUAGCAUGUCAUUUUACUUCAAAUGCAUGGAAAAUUCCUUCUUCAUGUUGUUGUUAUCAAAAGAAGAAAAGCACUUUGAAGACCACCCAGCAAGUCUGGGACAUGUUCCUAAAUUUCCUCGAGUGAUAGCCAGUGGUCAUUAUAGACCAUCUUCUAGUGUGGAAAGCCUGUCACUCAUAUUGCAGAUUGUAAUUUAAAUUUCUGAUAUCCCUACUGAGGGAAAUUCAUUGUUUAAACCACACGAUUGCACAUGGUCAAAGCCGCACUGUUGACCUACUCUGAAUGCGGAGUAAUGCUAACAUUCCUUGGAAAAAUAUUCACCGACUUGAAUGUUGCAAAAUUACAACUUCCGAAGUUUAAAAUUUGGCUGAAAAACUGUAGAAAUAUUAAAAAAAAACUUCAGUUUAGAAACCUAAAAUAUACUUUUCUGGUUGAUAUUAUGUUUUUUUUUUUUUUUUUUUUUUUUUUUUUUUUGUAAUUUAUGUCCAUGCACUGUAUGAAUACUGAAUAUAUGUCCCAAUUCUCUGCACUAUAUUGCAAUUUCAGAGUUGCCUAUAAUUUCCUUGAACUGGCUUUUUAAUCAUCGGACAUUUCUCUAUUUUGUUAAUUCAUCUCUCUCUCUUUUUUCAUUUCAUUUCAUUAAAAAAUCUCAUGAGCUUUCCAGUAUCAUGGCCUAUAUGAUACCAUAUCCUUAAAUAUACAAAAGCCAGCAUUUGAAAUAGAAUUACCAUCAUGUAUUUGCAUAAUUUCCUUGAACUGGCUUUCUAAUCAUUGGACAUUUCUGUGUUUUGUUAAUUCAUCUCUUUCUUUCAUUUCAUAAGAAAAAAUCUCAUGAGCUAAUAGCCAGAUUAGAGAACAAGGUGCUGGCAUUGGAUAGAAGUAAAGCAGCGUUAAGACUGAAACUAAUGGCCCCAUCACUUCUAUGGACUCACGCACUUACCCGGGACAAUUUCGAGAAAUGUUUCGUCUAGCUAGGAGGAACCAUGGAGGUAAGAAAGAAGGAGUGGCCAACCGGCACUAGAAGUGAAGCACUGCUUCGAAGCUUCGGUCACCAGAUGGGG